AUUGAACGCUGGCGGCAGGCCUAACACAUGCAAGUCGAACGGCAACAGGAAGCAGCUUGCUGCUUCGCUGACGAGUGGCGGACGGGUGAGUAAUGUCUGGGAAACUGCCUGAUGGAGGGGGAUAACUACUGGAAACGGUAGCUAAUACCGCAUAACGUCGCAAGACCAAAGAGGGGGACCUUAGGGCCUCUUGCCAUCGGAUGUGCCCAGAUGGGAUUAGCUAGUAGGUGGGGUAACGGCUCACCUAGGCGACGAUCCCUAGCUGGUCUGAGAGGAUGACCAGCCACACUGGAACUGAGACACGGUCCAGACUCCUACGGGAGGCAGCAGUGGGGAAUAUUGCACAAUGGGCGCAAGCCUGAUGCAGCCAUGCCGCGUGUAUGAAGAAGGCCUUCGGGUUGUAAAGUACUUUCAGCGGGGGGGAAGGGAGUAAAGUUAAUACCUUUGCUCAUUGACGUUACCCGCAGAAGAAGCACCGGCUAACUCCGUG
rnacentral:rRNA from 1 species